rnacentral:rRNA from 1 species
AUUGAACGCUGGCGGCAGGCCUAACACAUGCAAGUCGAACGAGUGGCGGACGGGUGAGUAAUGUCUGGGAAACUGCCUGAUGGAGGGGGAUAACUACUGGAAACGGUAGCUAAUACCGCAUACCAUCGGAUGUGCCCAGAUGGGAUUAGCUAGUAGGUGGGGUAACGGCUCACCUAGGCGACGAUCCCUAGCUGGUCUGAGAGGAUGACCAGCCAAACUGGAACUGAGAAACGGUCCAGACGCCGACGGGAGGCAGCAGGGGGGAAUAUGGCACAAGGGGCGAAAGCCGGAUGCAGCCAUGCCGGGUGUAUGAAGAAGGCCUGCGGGUUGUAAAGUACUUUCAGCGGGGAGGCGUUACCCGCAGAAGAAGCACCGGCUAACUCCGUGCCAGCCGCCGCGGUAAUU